rnacentral:pre_miRNA from 1 species
GAGACACCCUUAUGGGACAGGACUUGCUUCAGUGGGGCUUUGGUGCUCACCGAAUCUGCUUCUCGAGUGUGUCCCU